UAGAGUUUGAUCCUGGCUCAGGAUGAACGCUAGCGGCAGGCUUACAACAUCCAAGUCGAGGGGCAUCGCGGUGCAGCAAUGCACUGCCGCGACCCGGCGUACGGGUGCGUAACGCGUAUGCAACCUGCCCCGCACCGGGGGAUAGCCCGCCGAAAGGCGGAUUAAUACCCCAUGGUCCCGGGGGCCCGCAUGGGCAUCCGGGUAAAGCCUUGGCGGUGCGGGAUGGGCAUGCGUGCCAUUAGCUGGCUGGUGGGGUAACGGCCCACCAGGGCAACGAUGGCUAGGGGGUCUGAGAGGAUGGUCCCCCACACUGGUACUGAGACACGGACCAGACUCCUACGGGAGGCAGCAGUGAGGAAUAUUGGUCAAUGGGCGGAAGCCUGAACCAGCCAUGCCGCGUGCGGGAUGAAGGCCCUACGGGUUGUAAACCGCUUUUCCCCGGGAAGAAUAACCCCGAUGAGUCGGGGGAUGCCGGUACCGGGGGAAUAAGGAUCGGCUAACUCCGUGCCAGCAGCCGCGGUAAUACGGAGGAUCCGAGCGUUAUCCGGAUUUACUGGGUUUAAAGGGUGCGUAGGCGGCCCUGCAAGUCAGCGGUGAAAUGUGGCGGCUCAACCGUUUCGCUGCCGCUGAUACUGUAGGGCUUGGAUGCGGUCGAGGCGGGUGGAAUUCGUGGUGUAGCGGUGAAAUGCAUAGAUAUCACGAGGAACGCCGAUAGCGAAGGCAGCUCGCCGGGCCGCGAUCGACGCUGAGGCACGAAAGCGUGGGGAUCAAACAGGAUUAGAUACCCUGGUAGUCCACGCCGUAAACGAUGAUGGCUGGGUGUGCGCCCGCGAGGGCGCGUGCCUGAGGGAAACCAUUAAGCCAUCCACCUGGGGAGUACGGCCGCAAGGCUGAAACUCAAAGGAAUUGACGG
rnacentral:rRNA from 1 species